GUGUUAGCUUCGGCAGCACAUAUACUAAAACUGGAACGACACAGAGAAGAUUAGCAUGGCCCCUGCGCAAAGAUGACACGCAAAUUCAUGAAGCGUUCCAUACUUUU
rnacentral:snRNA from 1 species